rnacentral:rRNA from 1 species
ACCUCAAAUCAGGAAAGGAUACCCCCUGAAUUUAAGCAUAUAACUAAGGGGAGGAAAAGAAACUAACGAGGAUUCCCCCAGUAACGGCGAGUGAAGCGGGAAGAGCCCAGGUUGAAAAUUUAGGCGUUUUAGUGUCUAAAAUUGUAGUCUAGAGACGGUGUUUCCAGUUGUUGGUAUGUGCUUUAGGUUCCUUGGAAGAGGACGCCAUAGAGGGUGAGAGUCCCGUUUAGGCACGUGUUGGCAGCGUCCGGGUAUUGUUCUACGAGUCGAGUUGCUUGGGACUGCAGCUCCAAGUUGGUGGUAAAUUCCAUCAAAGGCUAAAUAGCGGCGAGAGACCGAUAGCGAACAAGUAGCGUGAGCGAAAGAUGACAAGAACUUUGAAAAGAGAGUGAAAGAGUACCUGAAAUCGUUGAAAGGGAAGGGUUUGCGUCCAGUGUUGGUUUUGCGUGUGGUUGUCCGUUGUUGCGAAAGAGCGGAUUGCCGUGCGUGGGACAGUCUCUGCCCGGCGUGGCGUUGGGGGGAUAGUGAUGGGGAGUGGUGUGCUUUUUUGGUACGCGCCCCCGUUCCACCCCCUCGAUCCGCGUUUCCUAAGAACAUGCCAUUUUCAGUAUCCACGGAUAGCUCGAAUGACAUAGAGGGCCAGAGGAAAUGUACGUUGACCGCCCGUCUGGAAACACGGACCAAGGAGUCUAAGAUGCGUGCGAGUGUUAGGGUGUUGAAAGCCGUGACGCGCAAUGAAAGUGAUAGGUGCUAUGGGGCGGAGGAAGUCCGUCCCGGCAACAUCGGCCGCUUUUGUUUCUCGAAGCAAAAAGUGAGUUGGAGCAUGUAUGUUGGGACCCGAAAGAUGGUGAUCUAUGCUUGUGUAGGGCGAAGCCAGGUGAAAAGCUGGUGGAGGUCCGCAAACGGUUCUGACGUGCAAAUCGAUCGUGAGACAUGGGUAUAGGGGCGAAAGACUCAUCGAACCAUCUAGUAGCUGGUUCCCUCCGAAAUUUCCCUUAGGAUAGCUAUAAUCAUGUUAGUUUCAUCAGGUAAAGCGAAUGAUUAGAGGGUUGGGGGGCGAAAUGCCCUCGACCUAUUCUCAAACUUUAAAUGGGUGAGCACGCGGGGUUGCUUUUGUGAAGCUCGCGGUUGAAUAGUGUUGGUUAUUAGUGGGCCCCCUCUGGUAAGCAGAGCUGGCGAUGCGGGAUGAUCCGAACGAGCGGUUAAAGUGCCUUUGUGUUGGCUCAUGUAGAUCCCAUAAAAGGUGUUGGUUCAUUUAGACAGCAGGACGGUGGCCAUGGAAGUCGGAAUCCGCUAAGGAGUGUGUAACAACCCACCUGCCGAAUGAAGUAGCCCUGAAAAUGGAUGGCGCUGGAGCCAGCGGACUUAUACCGUUCCAAUUUUCUUGAUGUGUUGGAGAGAAAAUUGAGUAGGAGGGCGUGGGGGUGUUGAUGCAUGCUGUGAUGUGAGUGCAGCAGAAAGCUCCCCUAGUGCAGAUCUUGGUGGAAGUAGCAAGUAUUCAAAAGCGAUCUUUGAAGACUGAAGUGGAGAAAGGUUUCAUGUGAACAUCAAUUGGACAUGAGUGAGUCGGUCCUAAGAGAUAGCCAAGUGGCGUUCUUAGUUUUCCCAUUUGUAAGAGUGGGGAUGUAAUCGAAAGGGAAUGAGGUUAAUAUUCCUGAACGAGGACAGUGUAUGCAUAAUUUGGCGACAGUUGUGGUUGUUGGGAGACGUUGGCGGGCAUCCCGGGAAGAGUUGUCUUUUCUUUUUGACUGUGAGUGGUGUCGGCCUGGAAUCGAUUUGUUCGGCGAUAGGGCGGUGUUCGCAGGCAGAGCGCUGUCAGGGUAGAUGGCGUCCGGUGCAUGUUUGUCUCUCCUUGAAAAUCCCAAGGAUCGUAAAUGGUAUAAUCACUCCUCUCCGUACUGUAAACCGCAACAGGUCUCCAAGGUGAGAAGCCUCUAGUUGAUAGAAGAAUGUAGAUAAGGGAAGUCGGCAAAGUAGAUCCGUAACUUCGGGAAAAGGAUUGGCUCUGAGGGUUUGGUGUGUUGUGUUGUGUUGGUGGGGGCGGUUGCUUACGUGUUGUUUUGGUAGCAAUACUGGAGCACACGGUCGGGCGACCCCCUCCUGACCACAACGCCAAACAACACACGGAUAUAAACCGGCUCAGAACUGGAGCGGACAAGGGGAAUCCGACUGUUUAAUUAAAACAAAGCAUUGCGAUGGUGUGUGAGCAUGUUGACGCAAUGUGAUUUCUGCCCAGUGCUCUGAAUGUCAAAGUGAAGAAAUUCAAUCAAGCGCGGGUAAACGGCGGGAGUAACUAUGACUCUCUUAAGGUAGCCAAAUGCCUCGUCAUCUAACUUGUGACGCGCAUGAAUGGAUUAACGAGAUUCCUACUGUCCCUAUUUACUAUCUAGCGAAUCCACAGCCAAGGGAACGGGCUUGGAAGAAUCAGCGGGGAAAGAAGACCCUGUUGAGCUUGACUCUAGUCUGACGUUGUGAAAUGAC